GUUUGUCGCGUCGGAUGUGAAAUCCCGGGGCUCAACCCCGGGUCUGCAUUCGAUACGGGCAGGCUAGAGUUCGGUAGGGGAGACUGGAAUUCCUGGUGUAGCGGUGAAAUGCGCAGAUAUCAGGAGGAACACCGGUGGCGAAGGCGGGUCUCUGGGCAGUAACUGACGCUGAGGAGCGAAAGCGUGGGGAGCGAACAGGAUUAGAUACCCUGGUAGUCCACGCCGUAAACGGUGGGUGCUAGGUGUGAGCGGUAUUCCACGCCGUUCGUGCCGCAGCUAACGCAUUAAGCACCCCGCCUGGGGAGUACGGCCGCAAGGCUAAAACUCAAAGGAAUUGACGGGGGCCCGCACAAGCAGCGGAGCAUGUGGCUUAAUUCGACGCAACGCGAAGAACCUUACCAAGGCUUGACAUACACCGAAAACUCGUAGAGAUACGGGGUCCGCAAGGGCGGUGUACAGGUGGUGCAUGGUUGUCGUCAGCUCGUGUCGUGAGAUGUUGGGUUAAGUCCCGCAACGAGCGCAACCCUCGUUCUAUGUUGCCAGCGGGUUAUGCCGGGGACUCAUAGGAGACUGCCGGGGUCAACUCGGAGGAAGGUGGGGAUGACGUCAAAUCAUCAUGCCCCUUAUGUCUUGGGCUGCACACAUGCUACAAUGGCCGGUACAAAGGGCUGCUAAGCCGCGAGGUGGAGCGAAUCCCAAAAAGCCGGUCUCAGUUCGGAUUGGGGUCUGCAACUCGACCCCAUGAAGUCGGAGUUGCUAGUAAUCG
rnacentral:rRNA from 1 species